rnacentral:tRNA from 1 species
ACAUAAAUAGUAUAUUAAAUAUAUUAGGUUUAGAUUCUAAAGAAAUUAUUUAUGUU